UACAGAGGUCCCAAGCGUUGUUCGGAUUCACUGGGCGUAAAGGGUGCGUAGGUGGCUGGGUAAGUUUGAUGUGAAAUCUCCGGGCUUAACCCGGAAAUGGCAUUGAAUACUAUUCGGCUAGAGGUUUGGAGGGGGACUGGAAUUCUCGGUGUAGCAGUGAAAUGCGCAGAUAUCAGGAGGAACACCGGUGGCGAAGGCGGGUCUCUGGGCCGAUGACUGACGCUGAGGAGCGAAAGCGUGGGGAGCGAACAGG
rnacentral:rRNA from 1 species